UACGAAGGGCGCUAGCGUUGUUCGGAAUCACUGGGCGUAAAGCGCACGUAGGCGGCUGUGUCAGUCAGGGGUGAAAUCCCGGAGCUCAACUUCGGAACUGCCUUUGAUACAGCACAUCUUGAGUCCGGAAGAGGUGGGUGGAAUUCCUAGUGUAGAGGUGAAAUUCGUAGAUAUCAGGAGGAACACCGGUGGCGAAGGCGGUUCUCUGGGCCUUACCUGACGCUGAGGAGCGAAAGCGUGGGGAGCGAACAGG
rnacentral:rRNA from 1 species